rnacentral:tRNA from 1 species
CAGAACAGAUCUUUUAGUAAGGUAUUUCAUUUACACUGAAAAUUUUUACUGUGCAAUUCAGUAUGUUUU